AUUGAACGCUGGCGGCAUGCCUUACACAUGCAAGUCGAACGGCAGCACGGGAGCAAUCCUGGUGGCGAGUGGCGAACGGGUGAGUAAAGUAUCGGAACGUGCCCAGUCGUGGGGGAUAACGUAGCGAAAGUUACGCUAAUACCGCAUACGAUCUAUGGAUGAAAGCGGGGGAUCGCAAGACCUCGCGCGAUUGAAGCGGCCGAUAUCAGAUUAGGUAGUUGGUGGGGUAAAGGCUCACCAAGCCGACGAUCUGUAGCUGGUCUGAGAGGACGACCAGCCACACGGGGACUGAGACACGGCCCAGACUCCUACGGGAGGCAGCAGUGGGGAAUUUUGGGCAAUGGGCGAAAGCCUGAUCCAGCCAUGCCGCGUGCAGGAUGAAGGCCUUCGGGUUGUAAACUGCUUUUGUACGGAACGAAAAGGUUUGGGCUAAUAAGCUGAGCUCAUGACGGUACCGUAAGAAUAAGCACCGGCUAACUACGUGCCAGCCGCCGCCGUAA
rnacentral:rRNA from 1 species